rnacentral:rRNA from 1 species
AACGAACGCUGGCGGCAUGCCUAACACAUGCAAGUCGAACGAGACCUUCGGGUCUAGUGGCGCACGGGUGCGUAACGCGUGGGAACCUGCCCUUAGGUUCGGAAUAACUCCCCGAAAGGGGUGCUAAUACCGGAUAAUGUCUUCGGACCAAAGAUUUAUCGCCUUUGGAUGGGCCCGCGUUGGAUUAGCUAGUUGGUAGGGUAAAAGCCUACCAAGGCGACGAUCCAUAGCUGGUCUGAGAGGAUGAUCAGCCACACUGGGACUGAGACACGGCCCAGACUCCGGCGGGAGGCAGCAGUGGGGAAUAUUGGACAAUGGGCGAAAGCCUGAUCCAGCAAUGCCGCGUGAGUGAUGAAGGCCUUAGGGUUGUAAAGCUCUUUUACCCGGGAUGAUAAUGACAGUACCGGGAGAAUAAGCUCCGGCUAACUCCGU